CGAUUGAAUGGUCCGGUGAAGUGUUCGGAUCGCGGCGACGGAGGCGGUUCGCCGCCCCCGACGUCGCGAGAAGUCCAUUGAACCUUAUCAUUUAGAGGAAGGAGAAGUCGUAACAAGGUUUCCGUAGGUGAACCUGCGGAAGGAUCAUUG
rnacentral:rRNA from 1 species